rnacentral:misc_RNA from 1 species
AUUCCACUUAAGCCCUGCUUAGUGUUGGGAGUCUACUGUAUUGUAGUUCCUCAAAGACAACGGCGGAGUCGUGUCAUCCUCUGAGCUUAGUAAUUACUCUUUAGCUUGUGAGCGAAGGCGCGUCCCCUGCCGCUAAACACCCAUCUUUUUAU